UGAAAAACACUUUUUAUUUUAAAUCACUUGGCCAAACCUUUGCUAAUUCAAUUAGGAAUUCCCUUCCUAAUAUUCUAGUGAUCAUCUUGAUGUUGUGCCUUGUAAUCUUGAAGUAUUGUCUUGAAUUUUAAUCUUGAAAAGCCCCUUUGCAUUAAUUGCAACACAUAAUCAUGAUCAUCAUCAAAACAUCAAAGCCAAUUGCAUCUACAAUCUCCCCCUUUUUGAUGAUGACAAUACAAUACCUAAAAUCAAGAUUCAAGCAAGCAACAAACAAUUGUAUAUAGAUAAAAGGUGCAUCCGUUUUCUCCCCCUAUAUUUCGGAAUACAUGAUCACUUGAUUUCUAAGUUUGUUAAGCUUUUUCUUAAGCUUUUGCUACAACCUUUUUCUCCCCCUUUGGCAACAUCAAAAAGCCAAAGAACCCGGAAAUCAACACAGUUAUAACAAUGGAGUAGCAAGAUAUAAGCAUCAGAGUAUUAAAUACAAUAAGCCAAACUCACAAACAAGAAAUAAUCAAACCAGAAUCCAAAUAACUGAAAAUGUCAACAACCACAAAACAUCCAAGACUGAAAUUUAAAAUCCACAAGAUAAAUAAGCAAAGUACUUAGCAUAAUAAUGUAAAUUCUAAGAAACUAAAAGCCAAAAUACACGGUUUAUAAAAGAUAAAUAAUCAGAAUCUAAAAGCUAAGAAGACGGAGGAGGUGGUGGAAGAUCGAAACUCUGACGAAUGUAUCCGACAUCCUCUUCAAGCUGUGUAAGACGAAUGUCCAUACCAGCAAAGCGUGAAUCUAACGAGUCAAAGCGGUCACCAACAUACGAACGAAGACCCCGUAAUUCGGAGAGGACUUCAUUCAUGAGUGCGGAAUCCUCACGUUGAGGAGGAGGUGAAGGAGUACGUUCAUCUUGAGGAGGGAGUGCAUCCUUCUUCAGCCAUUGUCCAUUCCGAUCUUUACGAUACCCAAAGGAGGUCACUGCACCAGCACCAAUUGCAAAGGAACGCUUGACUUGAACAAAGGGUUCAUCAUCAAGCGGAAUUUGAAAAUGACGCAAAAAUAGAGUAAUCAAAUGUGGAUAAGGAAGAGGUGCAUUGGCCCGUAAUGCCUUAUGCAUUCGGUACCGAACCAAAUGGGCCCAGUCGAUCUGACGACCGGUUAAAAAAGCCCACAUAAGAAUCAAAUCCUCCUCAGAGGCUUGUGCUAAAUUUGAAGACCGAGGAAGCAAAAUUCUAACAAUGAUAUAAUGCAUGAUGCGAUUAUCAAAAGUUAAUGACCCGGCCAACAAUCUACCGGUCAUGUCAGCUUGAUCAUUGCAGACCAUGCGACGAGCAUCAUGACUCGAAUAAUCGAAUUUCCAGUCAUCAACAAUGGUGCCCUCAAAAGGUGCACCUUGACUGGGUAAAUGAGUCAAAGAAAAGAAAAGUGACUGAUCAAUGACCAUAGAAGUACCAUGCACCUCAGACAUAAUAAUACCAUCCUGAAUUUUUAAAUUGCAGUAGAAGACCUUUACAAGUUCAGGAUAAUAUGGCAAUUUAAAUGUCAUGAAAUCAACAAGACCAGAAUUUUGAAACACUUGAUAGCAAUCAAACGUUUCAUCAUUAAAGAACUCUACGUCUAGGUACUUAGGGUCUAAGAUUAUUCUAGAAGAAAACUGAGAAAGGUACCGUAGACGUUGAUCAUCGGAUGAAAACAAUGUUGAUGAUCUUGGAGAUGACAAAGAAGGAGGAAUAGGUGCUGUGGGUGCUCCGGAUGGGCCGUGACGGCGAUGGGCAGCAGCGGUGGCGGUGGAAGAUGAUCCCUUUCUCUUCUUUGAUGGCUCUGCCAUUUGAUGAAGUUUUUCUGGAUUUUGAUCGGUGGAAGUGAAAGAGGAGUGAAAAAGAGGAAGAUUGGGCUUUACGGGACGUGAUUUGGUGAAGAAUCGAGUGAGAAUCGAAGGUUUGAAGUUCUAGGUAUGGAGGAAAACGUGGAGGAAGCUUUGGCUGCGCACGAGCUCCGAUUUCGUGAGUAUUUAUAGAAGAUGACGCAUUGUAAUCGAUUACAGGUAUUGGUAAUCGAUUACAUGCCCAAUAAGCCUUCUGGUAAUCGAUUACAGGAUGUUGUAAUCGAUUACAGGCUGCCUGUUCAUGUGUAAUCGAUUACACUGGAUGGUAAUCGAUUACCAGAGCCUAUCCUAGGCUAGUUUCUAAGAGAAUAUCUAUAUUUAUGCUCAAAUACAUCCUAUAUGACUAAUUUUCACUACUAAUACACUAAAUUCAAUCAUUCAAUUGCUAUAUACACAAGAAAUCAUAAAUUCUAUCACAAAAACAAGAAUUCAAACAAGAUCAAACAAAAUAAUCUACAAUCAAAAGGUAAAAAGUAAAUCAAUCAAUCAAUCAACCAAUCAAUCAAUUCCUAUUUUUCUAAAUCUCUUACAUCUAAGAGACCUAAUUCUCUUCUAAUAGAGAAAAACACUUCCUUGGGGAGAGGUUUAGUGAAAAUAUCAGCAAGUUGAUUCUUAGUAUCAACAAAUUCUAAAACACAAUCUCCCUUUAAGACAUGAUCUCUAAGAAAGUGAUGUCUAAUCUCUAUAUGUUUAGUUCUUGAAUGUUGAACUGGGUUUUUGGAUAGAUUUAUGGCACUAGUAUUAUCACACUUAAUAGGUAUGCGAUCAAGAAUGAUGCCAUAGUCAGAUAAUUGUUGCUUCAUCCAUAAAAUUUGUGCACAACAACUACCGGCAGAGAUAUACUCCGCUUCAGCAGUAGAUAAAGCAACACUAUUUUGUUUCUUACUAUGCCAUGAGACAAGAGCCGAUCCAAUAAAUUGACAAGUUCCACUUGUACUUUUUCUAUCAGUUUUAGAUCCGGCAAAAUCAGAAUCAGAAUAUCCUAUUAAGUUACAUGUUGAAUUCUUAGGAUACCAUAAUCCUAAAUUGAUUGUUCCUAAUAGAUAUCUCAUGAUUCUCUUUACUGCACUUAGAUGUGAUUGUUUGGGGUUGGAUUGAAACCUAGCACACAUGCAUACACUAAACAUAAUAUCAGGUCUACUAGCAGAUAAAUAAAGAAGAGAUCCGAUCAUACCUCGAUAUUGUUUUAUGUCUAUAGACUGACCAGAUUCAUCUUUAUCUAAGUAACAAUUAGUGCUCAUCGGUGUAGACAUGUGUUUUGCACUAUCCAUCCCAAAUCUUUUGAUCAAUUCCUUGCAGUAUUUGGAUUGAUUGAUGAAUAUACCUUCUUGAGUUUGCUUGAUUUGUAAUCCCAGAAAGUACUUUAGUUCUCCCAUCAUUGACAUUUCAAAUUCACUUUGCAUAUCAAGGGAAAACUCCUUGCACAAUGAAUCAUUAGUGGAUCCAAAAAUUAUAUCAUCAACAUAUAUUUGAACCAACAAAAUAUCAUUAAGCUUUCUCUUUAUGAAUAAUGUGGUAUCCACUUUACCUCUGGAGAAUUCUUUUUCAAGAAGAAAAUUACUUAAUCGUUCAUACCAUGCCCUAGGGGCUUGUUUCAAACCAUAAAGAGCCUUUUGUAAUUUAUAAACAUGGUUUGGUUUAUCAGAAAUUUCAAAACCAGGGGGUUGUUCAACAUAUACCUCUUCUUGAAUUAAGCCAUUUAAAAAGGCACUCUUAACAUCCAUUUGAUAAAGUUUAAAGUUCAUUAUGGAUGCAUAUGCCAAAAGCAUUCUAAUGGCUUCUAAUCUUGCAACAGGAGCAUAUGUUUCUUCAUAGUCUAUCCCCUCUUCUUGAUUAUACCCUUUUGCUACUAAUCUAGCUUUAUUUCUAAUAAUUAUCCCAUGUUCAUCUAAUUUAUUUCUAAAAACCCAUUUUGUUCCAAUGACAGGAUAAUUUUCAGGUUUUUCUACUAAUUUCCAUACAUUGUUUCUUUCAAAUUGGUUUAGUUCUUCUUGCAUGGCAAUGAUCCAAUUAUCAUCUACUAUGGCUUCCUUUAUAUUUUUAGGUUCAAUCAUAGAUACAAAAGCCAUAUUAUUGCAUAAAUCUUUAAGAGAAUGUCUAGUUGUUACCCCUUUUGAGAUAUCACCAAUAAUAUUGUCGAGGGGAUGAUCUCUUGAAGUUUUCCAUUCUCUUGGGAGUACAUCAUUGGAUUUGCCUUCUUCUGGAGGAUCUUCAUUGUUUCCUUUGUCAUUUCCUUUGGAAUCUUUUUCAUGAAUGUUCAUAUGUUCUAAAGAAUCUGCAAUGUCAUCUAGCAUAUCCUUUGUUGACAAUAUAGCAUUAGAUUCAUCAAAGGUAACAUGAAUGGAUUCCUCUAUAUUCAUAGUUCUCUUAUUAUAUAUUCUAUAUGCUUUGCUUUGUAAAGAAUAUCCAAGAAAAAUGCCUUCAUCAGAUUUUGCAUCGAAUUUUCCUAGAUUAUCUUUACCAUUAUUAAGUACAAAGCACUUGCAACCAAAAACAUGUAGAUGAGAAAUAUUAGGUUUUCUACCGUUAAAUAACUCAUAUGGGGUUUUCUUUAAAAUAGGUCUUAUCAAGGCUCUAUUCAUGAUGUAACAUGCAGUAUUGACAGCUUCAGCCCAAAAAUACUUUGGAAGAGAAGUAUCAUUUAAUAAAGUUCUUGCAAUUUCUUCCAAUGACCUAUUUUUCCUCUCAACAACUCCAUUUUGUUGAGGAGUUCUUGGUGCAGAAAAAUUAUGUUCAAUACCAUGUUCAUCACAAAAUAAUUCAAAAUCUUUAUUUUCAAAUUCACCCCCAUGAUCACUUCUAAUGGAUGCAAUCUUGAGAUUUUUCUUGUUUUGUAUGACUUUAGCAAGUUUCCUAAAUGCAUGGAAUGAAUCACUUUUAUGUGUAAUAAAUAAUGUCCAAGUAUAUCUAGAGAAAUCAUCAACUAUAACUAAAGCAUAGUAAUUUCCUCCAAAACUCAUGGUUCUAGAUGGACCAAAUAGAUCCAUAUGCAAUAACUGUAAUGGUCGAGUGGUUGAAACAACAUUUUUAGAUUUGAAUGAGACUCUUGUUUGCUUGCCCUUUUGACAUGCAUCGCAUAAUUUAUCUUUUUCAAAUUUCAAUUUAGGCAGACCAACUACUAAAUCUUUUGAAAUUAAUUUAUUUAAGUGAUCCAUGUUUAUGUGAGCAAUUCUUUUAUGCCAUAACCAUGGAUCAUCAUCUUUACUAAGAAAGCAAUGAUUGUUUUCUUGUUUUAUGCUUAAGUCUAUCAUGUAAACAUUAUUGACUCUAUGUCCUACAUGCUUUAUAUUAAUGUCAUGCUUAUGUUCUAUAAGACAUUUCUGAGAAUCAAAUGAUACUAGAUAGCCUUUGUCACAUAGUUGACUAACGCUAAGCAGGCUAUGCUUAAGACCUUCAACAAGUAGAACAUUUUCAAUGGAGUUUGAAGAAUUUGUACCUAUUUUACCCACUCCAAGAAUUCUACCUUUGUUGUUAUCACCAUAUGUUACAUGCCCGCUUUUCUUUGGAGAUAUGUGUGUAAAAUUUGAUGCAUCUCCAGUCAUAUGUUUUGAGCAUCCGCUAUCUAUGUACCACUUCUUUCUCAAAGAUACCUGCAUAAUCAAGUUUUUGACUUAGGUACCCAAAUUUUAUUGGGUCCUUGCAUGUUAGUAUAAACUGAGGAUCCUUUUGGGACCCAUAUCAUUUUAAUAUUACUGUAAUUUUUCUUGAAGUAGCAAGUUGAUAUGCCAUGUCCUCUUCUUCCACAGUAAAAACAAGUGAUGGAAUUAGAAUUACAUUUUUGUGUGGAAGUGGAAAAGUUUUUAUAAACCUUUUGUAGUUUUUCAGAUUUAUACCCUAGUCCAUUUUUAUUUGACACAUAUCUUUGUUUACUUAAUAUAACAUCUAAAUUAUUUCUACUAUAUGAAAAUUUUGCAAGAGAAUUUUUUAACUCUUUAAUUUCUUUUACAUAUUUAUCACAACAACUACAAGAAUCUGUUAUUUUCUUGUCAUUAAUAGUGGAGAUAUUAACUUUUUCAUUUGUUUUAGAGAUUGAAACUUCAUUUCUAAGAAGAUCUAAUUCUUUGUUUAAUUUUGAAAUUUCAUUUUCUAAAUUUGAAAUUGUUUUCUUUGAUGAUGAAACUAAUUUUGCAAGUUUAAUUGAUUCUUUAUGCAAAUCAGCAAAUGCAUCUUGCAAUUCAUCAAAAGAAAUAGAUAAGUUGUUUGAAGAUGUUACCUCUUCAUCACUUUCGUAACUUUUUGCCAUAAGGCAAAGAUUUAUCUCUUCAUUUUCAGAAUCAUCAGAGGAUUCCAAAUCAUUUUCAUCCCAUGUGAUGUAUGCUUUCUUUGGUUUCUUCUCACUAUGAUUUUUCUUUUCAGAUUUUUCCAUCUUUUUCUUGAAGAUGGGACAAUCAACCCUCAGAUGUCCAGGUUGAUUGCAUUCAAAGCAUUUUAGAGUAGAGGAUGAAUUUUCUGUCCUUCUCUUUGAUUUAAAAUUUGGUCGCCUCUGAUUUCCUCUUACUUUAAGAAAUUUGUUGAAUCUUUUUACAAAGAAACUUAGAUCAUCAUCAUCAUCUGCAUCAUUAUCCUGAUCACUUUCUUCUUGAAUUGAGGAUGAUGCUUUAAGAGCAAUUCCUUUCUUUUUCUUGUCAUUUUCUUCAUUUUGGUGCAAUCUCAAUAGUUCCAUCUCAUGUUCCUGCAACUUACCAAAUAAAGUGGCAAGAGACAUGUUAGACAAAUCUCUUGAUUCAGAAAUAGCCGUUACUUUGGGUUGCCAUUCUCUACUUAAACAUCUUAGCACCUUGUUUAUAAGAUCUUCAUUUUGAAAUUCUUUGCCUAAGGCUGCUAGAUGAUUUACUAUAUGUGUAAAUCUCUUUUGCAUACUCUGAAUAUUUUCAUUUGUAUUCAUUCUAAAUAAUUCAUACUCAUGAGUUAGUGCAUUUAUCCUAGAUCUUUUAACAUCUGUAGUUCCUUCAUGUGUUAAUCGAAGAGUGUCCCACAUUUCCUUAGCACUCUUGCAAUUUGAAACUCUGAAAUAUUCAUCCAUUCCUAGGGCAGAUGUUAUUAUGUUUUUGGCUUUUAGGUUGUAUUGUACUCGUUUUCUAUCCUCUUCAGACCAUCUAUCUCUAGGUUUUUCUAUGGUUAUGCUUUCACUUGAUGAACUACCAUCUAUUGAAACUCUUUCUACUGUGGUGGGUAUAUAAGGCCCUAUUUCUAUGGCUUCCCAGAUAUUUAGAUCUAUUGCCUCGAUAAAAAUUUGCAUUCGGGUUUUCCAGUAGUGGUAACCCUCUCCAUUAAAGAUUGGAGGUCUAUUGAUAGAAUUCCCUUCUGGAAAUAAGGAGUUUGCUGAGGCCAUCUUUUUCUUGAAGCUUCUAAACUUUGUACAAGAAUGAAGCUCUGAUACCACUUGUUAGACAAGUGGCCUCAGAUAUCUUAAGAAGGGGGGGUUGAAUUAAGAUAUUCCAAACUUUUCUCCUAAUUAAAAAUCUAUCUUACUUUUUACUUAAGUUAUGAAUUCCCUUAAUGACAAUCUUCUUAAAUAUUAAUUCAAAUGAAGCAACUUGAAUUAUGAAUAUAAAGCAAUAAUAAAUAAAGGAGAUUAAGGGAAGAGAAAAUGCAAACUCAGUUUUAUACUGGUUCGGCCACACCCUUGUGCCUACGUCCAGUCCCCAAGCAACCCGCUUGAGAGUUCCACUAACUUGUAAAUUCCUUUUACAAGUUCUAAACACACAAGGACAACCCUUCCUUUGUGUUUAGAGAUUCUUUACAACAAGAGACUCACAGUCUCUUAAUCCCUUAGAGAAUGAGAAGAAGAAGAGGAACAAAUCUCUCUAGAAAGAGAUGGAUUUUACAGAUUGAGCACUCAAUUAAUUCCUUAAUGAAUUGCAAUCAAGUUGGCCAAGGAAUUCUUUAAGAGGAUAAAAUGAAAUUGCUUUUUGAGAGGAUAAACACUUUGUUGUUCUGAAAAUCUCUAAGCAAUUUCGUGUUUAAGUCACAUAUAUAUAGACCAUUGGUGGUCAUGAGUAAAGCCUUUGAAAAGUUGUGACUCUUGAAAUUAUUUUUCUGAAAUUCCUGUCUGGUAAUCGAUUACAGUAAUUGUGUAAUCGAUUACAGCUUUUAAAAUUUCGAAUUCAAAUUUUUAUAGCUGUUAUAAAACGUAUUUGGCCACUGGUAAUCGAUUACAUCCUCUGGUAAUCGAUUACCAGAGAGUAAAACCUUUGAAAAACACUUUUUAUUUUAAAUCACUUGGCCAAACCUUUGCUAAUUCAAUUAGGAAUUCCCUUCCUAAUAUUCUAGUGAUCAUCUUGAUGUUGUGCCUUGUAAUCUUGAAGUAUUGUCUUGAAUUUUAAUCUUGAAAAGCCCCUUUGCAUUAAUUGCAACACAUAAUCAUGAUCAUCAUCAAAACAUCAAAGCCAAUUGCAUCUACA
rnacentral:lncRNA from 1 species